rnacentral:misc_RNA from 1 species
AAGUCGUAACAAGGUUUCCGUAGGUGAACCUGCGGAAGGAUCAUUAACACGAAACUCCACGUUUCAUACCAAUCCGUGCUCCUGUAACUCUCAAGUGAUAGUAACCUCUUUGUCUUUUCGGAGAUGAAGUAACCUCUAUUGCUUUUUUAAUAUACAAACCCCUUGUAUCAUUAAAUGACUGAACCUUAGAAGUUUUGAGUACCCCUUUACCGGGGCGCUCGCUUCUGAUAUACGUAACUCUGAACAACUCUUAGCAACGGAUAUCUUGGUUCUC